GCUGACUUCCGUACCGGCUCUCUGUAUGGAGUCUGUCAGGAUGCGGUCGGGGGUGUCGUACUUGGUGUGGUAGAUGAAGCCGUUCUCGAUGAAGGCCAGGUCGAUGCCUGUCAAUCAAACACAUCAAUGUUGUGAAAAAGGGAUUUCCAGGGAAAGGAAGUCGAGGACAUCAGGUCAUUUAUUAAAAAACGUGAUUCUUGGACAAGGGGGGAAAACAAACAACAACUUCAACCGAAGGAGUCUCACCUGGGAUGUUACCGAAGUCCCUGUAAAUACGGAAAUCGGUGUCGGAGGGAAUGAUGCCGCUCUGAAAAACCUCCUGACCGACCACAGAGGCGAAAGGAUGUUUGGCCGCAUGGACGUAGGCCUGGACCAGCCACGGGUUCUCUGGACCUUGGAGGACGACAGAAAGGAUGUUUUCCUCCGCUCCGUUAAAGAGGAAGAUGACUCCAUGGCGGAGCGGUGAGGACUGAUUGGCCAGAGAGUGAAGGACUUCCAGCAUCACUGCGCAGCUCACUGCAUCGUCACUGGCUCCUAACACGACGACCAAGAGAGCAGAGAGAGAGCAGAGAGAGAGCAGGUUACCUUGGAGAUCAAAGUGGAGGUGAAGGGGACACACGGCAGUGGUUUCUAGGCGGGUCUGUGGCUGUUUUAACUGGAGGAAAGGUUAGCGCGGCAGCGGCUCCGGCGCUGACAGAACAAAAUCGUACUGAAAAAGUCCCAAAAAAAAAA